rnacentral:rRNA from 1 species
ACAGAGGGUGCAAGCGUUAUUCGGAAUCACUGGGCGUAAAGCGCGCGUAGGCGGCUUGGUAAGUCGGAUGUGAAAUCCCUCGACUCAAUCGAGGAAGUGCAUUGGAAACUGCCAGGCUAGAGUAUAGGAGAGGAGAACGGAAUUCCUGGUGUAGAGGUGAAAUUCGUAGAUAUCAGGAGGAACAACGGUGGCGAAGGCGGUUCUCUGGACUAUUACUGACGCUGAUAGCGCGAAAGCGUGGGGAGCAAACAG